UAAUCCUUCUAAAUACUCAUG
rnacentral:piRNA from 1 species